AGCGAACGCUGGCGGCAGGCCUAACACAUGCAAGUCGAACGAACCCUUCGGGGUUAGUGGCGGACGGGUGAGUAAAACGUGGGAACGUGCCUUUAGGUUCGGAAUAACUAAGGGAAACUUGUGCUAAUACCGAAUGUGCCCUUCGGGGGAAAGAUUUAUCGCCUUUAGAGCGGCCCGCGUCUGAUUAGUUAGUUGGUGAGGUAAUGGCUCACCAAGGCUACGAUCAGUAGCUGGUCUGAGAGGAUGACCAGCCACAUUGGGACUGAGACACGGCCCAAACUCCGACGGGAGGCAGCAGUGGGGAAUCUUGCGCAAUGGGCGAAAGCUUGACGCAGCCAUGCCGCGUGGAUGAUGAAGGUCUUAGGAUUGUAAAAUCCUUUCACCGGUGAAGAUAAUGACGGUAGUCGGAGAAGAAGCCCCGGCUAACUUCGUGCCAGCAGCCGCCGUAAUAC
rnacentral:rRNA from 1 species